rnacentral:rRNA from 1 species
AUUGAACGCUGGCGGCAUGCCUUACACAUGCAAGUCGAACGGCAGCGGACCUUCGGGUGCCGGCGAGUGGCGGACGGGUGAGUAAUAUAUCGGAACGUACCUUUCAGUGGGGGAUAACGUAGCGAAAGUUACGCUAAUACCGCAUAUUCUGUGAGCCAGGAAAGCAGGGGAUCGCAAGACCUUGCGCUGAUUGAGCGGCCGAUAUCAGAUUAGCUAGUUGGUGAGGUAAAGGCUCACCAAGGCGACGAUCUGUAGCGGGUCUGAGAGGAUGAUCCGCCACACUGGAACUGAGACACGGUCCAGACUCCUACGGGAGGCAGCAGUGGGGAAUUUUGGACAAUGGCGCAAGCCUCGAUCCAGCCAUGCCGCGUGAGUGAAGAAGGCC